UACAGAGGUCUCAAGCGUUGUUCGGAUUCAUUGGGCGUAAAGGGUGCGUAGGCGGCGGGGCAAGUCGGAUGUGAAAUCUCAGGGCUCAACCCUGAAACUGCAUUCGAUACUGCCUUGCUCGAGGACUGGAGAGGAGAUUGGAAUUCACGGUGUAGCAGUGAAAUGCGUAGAUAUCGUGAGGAAGACCAGUGGCGAAGGCGGAUCUCUGGGACAGUUCCUGACGCUGAGGCACGAAGGCCAGGGGAGCAAACGGG
rnacentral:rRNA from 1 species